CGUAUGUUAGUUGAUCGCUCUAUAAUGCAGUCGAGCGAUCGAUGGGAGCUUGCUCCCUGAGAUUAGCGGCGGACGGGUGAGUAACACGUGGGCAACCUGCCUAUAAGACUGGGAUAACUUCGGGAAACCGGAGCUAAUACCGGAUACGUUCUUUUCUCGCAUGAGAGAAGAUGGAAAGACGGUUUACGCUGUCACUUAUAGAUGGGCCCGCGGCGCAUUAGCUAGUUGGUGAGGUAAUGGCUCACCAAGGCGACGAUGCGUAGCCGACCUGAGAGGGUGAUCGGCCACACUGGGACUGAGACACGGCCCAGACUCCUACGGGAGGCAGCAGUAGGGAAUCUUCCGCAAUGGACGAAAGUCUGACGGAGCAACGCCGCGUGAACGAAGAAGGCCUUCGGGUCGUAAAGUUCUGUUGUUAGGGAAGAACAAGUACCAGAGUAACUGCUGGUACCUUGACGGUACCUAACCAGAAAGCCACGGCUAACUACGUGCCAGCAGCCGCGGUAAUACGUAGGUGGCAAGCGUUGUCCGGAAUUAUUGGGCGUAAAGCGCGCGCAGGUGGUUCCUUAAGUCUGAUGUGAAAGCCCACGGCUCAACCGUGGAGGGUCAUUGGAAACUGGGGAACUUGAGUGCAGAAGAGGAAAGUGGAAUUCCAAGUGUAGCGGUGAAAUGCGUAGAGAUUUGGAGGAACACCAGUGGCGAAAGCGACUUUCUGGUCUGUAACUGACACUGAGGCGCGAAAGCGUGGGGAGCAAACAAGGAUUAGAUACCCUGGUAGUCCACGCCGUAAACGAUGAGUGCUAAGUGUUAGAGGGUUUUCCGCCCUUUAGUGCUGCAGCUAACGCAUUUAAGCACCUCCCGCCCUGGGGGAGUAACGGCUC
rnacentral:rRNA from 1 species